rnacentral:piRNA from 1 species
UGAUGUCGGAAUGGAGUAGCUGUCC